rnacentral:rRNA from 1 species
GCAUGGGGGUGCUACCAUGCAGUCGAGCGGUAAGGCCUUUCGGUGGACUCGAUCGGCGAACGGGUGAGUAACACGUGGGUGAUCUGCCCUGCACUUCGGGAUAAGCCUGGGAAACUGGGUCUAAUACCGGAUAUGACCUCCUAUCGCAUGGUGGGUGGUGGAAAGAUUUAUCGGUGCAGGAUGGGCCCGCGGCCUAUCAGCUUGUUGGUGGGGUAAUGGCCUACCAAGGCGACGACGGGUAGCCGACCUGAGAGGGUGACCGGACACACUGCGACUGAGACACGGCCCAGACUCCUACGGCAGGCAGCAGUGGGGAAUAUUGCACAAUGGCGCGAAGGCCUGAUGCAGCGACGCCGCGUGAGGGAUGACGGCCUUCGGGUUGUAAACCUCUUUCAGCAGGGACGAAGCGCAAGUGACGGUACCUGCAGAAGAACACCGGCUAACUACGUGCCAGCAGCCGCGGCGAUACGUAGGGUGCAAGCGUUGUCCGGAAUUACUGGGCGUAAAGAGUUCGUAGGCGGUUUGUCGCGUCGUUUGUGAAAACCAGCAGCUCAACUGCUGGCUUGCAGGCGAUACGGGUAGACUUGAGAACUGCAGGGGAGACUGGAAUUCCUGGUGUAGCGGAGAAAUGCGCAGAUAUCAGGAGGAACACCGGUGGCGAAGGCGAUCUCUCUGGGCAGCAACUGACGCUGAGGACCGAUAGCGUGGGUACUGAACUGAUUAGAUACCCUGGUAGACCACGCCGUAACGAUGCCGCUAGGUGCGCGUCCUUCCCGGAUCCGUGCCGUAUCUACGCAUUAGCGCCCGCCUGAGAGACGGCCGCAGGAUAAACUCAAAGAAUGACGAGGCCGCACACCGUGGAAGAUGUGGAUUAUUCAUGCACGCGAUACCUUACUGGAUGACUAUACGAAAUCUGCGAAUGGGUCCC